UUUAAGUGCAACUAUGAGUUUCCGUGCCCAACUUUGAUCGUCCGUCUUAUUUAAAAAAAUUUUAUAAUUAGUAUUUUUAUUGUUAUGAGAUGAUAAAAGCAUGAAUAAUACUUCAUGUAUGACUUAUGUUUUAAUUUUUUAAAAAAUAUUUCAAAUAAGAAAGACGAUCAAAGUUUAGCAUGAAAAAUCAUGGCUGCACUUAAA
rfam:Oryza glaberrima chromosome 11 Oglab11_0253_2, whole genome shotgun sequence.